UACGUAGGGGGCUAGCGUUGUCCGGAAUCAUUGGGCGUAAAGCGCGCGUAGGCGGUCAGGUAAGUCCGGUGUGAAAGUCAUAGGCUCAACCUAUGAAUGCCGCUGGAAACUGCCUGACUUGAGUCCGGAAGGGGCGAGUGGAAUUCCUGGUGUAGCGGUGAAAUGCGCAGAUAUCAGGAGGAACACCAAUAGCGAAGGCAGCUCGCUGGGACGUUACUGACACUGAGGCGCGAAAGCGUGGGGAGCGAACAGG
rnacentral:rRNA from 1 species